GGACAUCUAUAGGGAGUGGUGUCUCAGAAAGGCAGCGUCCAUUAUUAAGGACCUCCAGCACCCAGGGCAUGCCCCUUUCUCACUGUUACCAUCAGGUAAUUCUGCCAAACCUGCAAGAAGUACUAUGGUAUAAAGAUCAAAACAGAGUGGCAGCUUGUGAAAAUAUGAUGUAAUGUUGGAUCAGCGAGCCUCGCUCCAGAGUGACUCCAAAUACUGUUAGCUUGUGUGUGCCGAAGAAGUACCUUUAUGCUACCAGCAGCAUGUCUCUCCAGUGGCUUUCCUUGACAGUCACAACACAUCCACAAACUUCUCAACAUAUACCGUUAUCUUUAGCUGACAAAAGCCCUUAAUGUGCAGCCCAUACAUUCGGACAAGCAUCUGGGAGACCAGUGAGAUGGACCUUGCUGGCUGCUGGCAUCUUCUCCCCUGGAGGAACCUGGUUCACAAUUGCACUUCUGACUUGUGAGUCGUCCAGGUAACGAACAGCAUAUGGGAGCGGAACACUACGGUAAUCUGAGGACAAUAUGUGCUCUUGUAAUGACAUUACAAUCCACACAUCUAAAAUGAUGAAAAGUAUGUUAGGCAGAAAUUGAUGGCUUACUGAAUGUUAAACUCUCCUUCAGGAUGCUUUAUGGCAGAAAGUGGUUGUAAAUAUCUUCUUCUGCUAUAAAUUCCUAUCGUAACAUAAAUGUAUAUAAUGUAUCAUCAAUAUCACACAUGGUAUAUGAUAUAUAUCAUGUAUCAUUUGAUAUGUAUCAUAAAUACAUAUCAUAAGUACCUGAUAUUUAUAUUAAUUCAAGGUUUUUUCUUGAACUAAUGUAAAUAUCAGGCAUUACAAAUUAGGUAGGUGCAAUGGAUCACCAAUAGCUACACUGUUAUGAAUGUGAAGCAACUCUGAGGGGCCGAAGGGUACAAAGUAGCCCCCUCCUUUUUGAGAAUCACAAGAUCGCUAUUAAUUCAGGUCUGGGACCCAGGAAAUGAGAGAGACACUCAGAAUACACAGGGUUUGGAAUGUGUCCUGGCCUCAGCGAAACGAAACCAUUGAUAAUGGCUAUUGUCUCUUGGAGACGGAAUUGUGUAUUGAGUACUGUACUAUUCAUUGAAACCCCUCAGGGGACGACCAGAGUGGGCUGUUUGAGGGAUUGCAUCAUCCCAACCUGAUUGACAUCUGAGUAAGGAUAAAAGAGGGUCUGCGGAAGAACCUCUUUAGAUGCACCAGGAGAAACGCUAGAAAUCCCGUGACAGCGUUUAAUAGCGACAGCCAGUGGGGGGCUCGUGUGUGUCCUCCCUUGCCUGGGUUGGCAGGCUCACCACGGAAGAACGGCUUUAGCUAAAGGAGAGGCCACAAGUGAACGGCCACACCAACGAGACUCCGACGGAUUGAAAUCAUAAAAGGAAAAGCCGGCAAGUUUUUCUCCAAAUCUCUCUCUCUCUCUCUCCAACCAUUGCCACACAGCGGUCCCCAAAGGCUGCAGCCUGCAUGAACUGAGUGAACUUUAUAUUUCCAUCGGACAAUACAUUAUCCCCUAGACAACGAUAGAGCUUAUUUCUUAUUGACUAUUAUUAUACCCGCACUUUUAGAUUUAGUCUUGAUGACGUAUAUUAUCUGUAUAUUUGCAUUGAUAUUAUUUUUGUGUAUUUUUACUAAUAAAUACAGUUAAAAAUAGUAUUAUCAGACUUCAACGGACCUCUCUAUCUUUGCUGGUAAGUGACCCAGUUACGGGGUUUGUAACAACACAAAGACUGAAAAAUUGCGGUCGGGUUUGUGGAGCAAACCGUGUCAGAAAACAUUGAUAGUUUUGACAUUAUUACUAUCCCAAAAACAUGUGAUUUUACAUGUAUACAUCAUGUAUACAUCAUGUAUAUUCAUCAUGACUAUUUUAUGCUGUUUUCAAAUGUAAUUAUAGUUUGUUUUGACCAAGUAAUUUUGUAAUUCAGUGAAUCAUUCCAUCACUUAAAUUUCCAUUGUUUUAUGCUUGACAUCUGAAAUGCUUAAUCAAUAUAAAGUGAAAAGGAAUAACAACUAUGUCAUGUUUGAAUGAAAUGUUAAAAACAUAAAAUUGAGUCACAGGAUAUGACAAUAAGGGUGGAAGUGAUAGGCUGUUUGCUAUUUGUAGAAAUAGAGUGCAAUGCAUCAUUUGAUUUUUGACUGGCUCCUUGAGAAAAUAAAAUGCAUUUUCUUUACAUUAAAUAGAU